rnacentral:rRNA from 1 species
GUGGGGAAUAUUAGGCAAUGGGGGAAACCCUGACCUAGCAACGCCGCGUGAAGGAUGAAGGUCUUCGGAUUGUAAACUUCUUUGGCCCGGGACGAUAAUGACGGUACCGGGAGAACAAGCUACGGCUAACUACGUGCCAGCAGCCGCGGUAAUACGUAGGUGGCAAGCGUUGUCCGGAUUUACUGGGUGUACCGGGCGAGUAGGCGGGGAUGCAAGUCAGAUGUGAAAUACCGAGGCUUAACUUCGUAUGUGCAUUUGACACUGCAUUUCUAGAGUGAUGGAGAGGCAGGCGGAAUUCCAGGUGUAGCGGUGAAAUGCAUAGAGAUCUGGAGGAACACCAGUGGCGAAGGCGGCCUGCUGGACAUUAACUGACGCUGAGGCGCGAAAGUGUGGGGAGCAAACAGGAUUAGAUACCCGUGUAGUCC